GGUAAUUAACAUCUAAACUCUAGUAUUGAAACACAUUAUAUUAAUUUAUAGCAGAUAACUCAUAUAUUCAUGUUCACAGACCAUAAAAACAAUCGAUUUCAAAAGAAAUUAUUAACGCAGAACACGAAUAUAUGAAUAUGAGCCUCCCCCCAAUUAUCGAGCUUGCGAAAUGUGUUCGCAACAGGCUUGUAGCAAGCUUGUCAACAAGAUGUAACAAUGCUGCAUGUUAUUUUAUCAAGUUGCUACAAGGUUGUCACUCACAACUUGUUGACAAGUUGCAACAAGCCGUUGACGGGUUGUGCUAAAAAGCGGCCCACGGUCCACGGCCCGAUUUACGGCUCGCGGCCCGCCGGUCCGAAUGUCGGCCCGCAGCCCCGGCGGCCCGACUGCCCGCGGGCCAGCUCA